rnacentral:lncRNA from 1 species
CUUUCAUAAACAUCUUUGUAAUAAUAUCCCAAUUUAACCUUAUUAACCCUGUUAUCUCUUCAAACGUAUCUCUCAGUCAUCCUCUCUGCCAAUUGCGAUCAUCUCAAACAUCAUUUUCGUAAAGAUCUGAUCACCUAAUCGACGCUACUCUAUGCUUUAGGCGAUGAAUCUGAAUUUAACUGAAGCAUAAGAGGGUUCAUAUAUGAAAAAAUAGGGUUGCCGAAGAAGAUGAUGGUCAAAAGGGUUCAUCCAGAUUUGAUUUUGUUCAAAUCUAAAGGUGCGAGAUGCAAGCAAUUUAUUUGACUAUGGCAGGGUUUAGUCUUCUAAAUAAAUGAAAUGGCAAUCACCACAGAAUAUGUGCAAUCAUGCAAGAUUGUGAAGUUAGCUGCUGUUAGAAUCAAUGGCAUGUUUGAAAGGAUACAAUUUUCUCAAGAAAUAAGAAAAGGUAUAUUGUCUUUUGUUGGACUUAUAAAAUGAACAGAUGAUUUCAAAAGCCAAAACAUGACUUCCUGGUUAAGAAAUAAAUAGAUAAUGAUACAUUCUCCUCCCAAAGAUAGUGAAUAUUGAACACUAAUCAGAACAUCUGUUAAAGACAUCAAAGAUCUGUUUGAAGGCAUGGAACAUCUGUUUAAGAAGAAGAAACCCCUGUUUGAUGGCCAAAGCCCUGUUGAAGACAAGCACUGGUCAUGAAGACCAAACAUCUGUUAUGGCCAAACAGAUGUUUGAUACAAGUCAGUAGUGGUAUGAAGAACAGUGGUUUAGUCAAUGUAACAGUGUUAGCUUUGAACAUAUGUUUUAUGUAAUAGAUCAGAUGAUAGAUUUGUGCAGAUGUUUGCUAACAUCUGAGGAAUCUUUUCUGUUAGGAACGUUAGAUGUCACUAUUUGGGUGACGUGAGUUGAUUUCAAACAGACCUUUCGUACCCAUAUAAAUAGAUUUCAUGUGUUAGAGAUCUAUUUCAUCACUUAUCAUUCCUUUUUAUACGAACAGAAAAGUUGCGUGAUCAGGCUGAGGGGGAGUUUAUA